rnacentral:rRNA from 1 species
UACGAAGGGGGCUAGCGUUGCUCGGAAUCACUGGGCGUAAAGGGUGCGUAGGCGGGUCUUUAAGUCAGGGGUGAAAUCCUGGAGCUCAACUCCAGAACUGCCUUUGAUACUGAGGAUCUUGAGUUCGGGAGAGGUGGAGUGGAACUGCGAGUGUAGAGGUGAAAAUUCGUAGAUAUUCGCAAGAACACCAGUGGCGAAGGCGGCUCACUGGCCCGAUACUGACGCUG